AUUUGUAGUAGGUAUAUUUAUUAUGUGAGAGUAGGGCUGCCCAAAUGGCCCACAACCUGACCUGAAUCCAGCCUAGACCCGGCCUGAUCAAAGCCUGGAACAGUCAGGCCCAACCUGCAAGGCUACCAACAAACCAAAGAUUUUUAGUACAAAUCCGACCUAACCUAGCCUUUCAAAAAGCCUAAUCUGGCCUGACCUACAAGCUUGAUCCGGCCCAAGGUCAAGACUUGAAUUCAAGUCUCUCUUCUUAUGUUUUAAGAAAAC
rnacentral:lncRNA from 1 species